CCUACGGGAGGCAGCAGUGAGGAAUAUUGGUCAAUGGACGAGAGGCUGAACCAGCCAAGUAGCGUGAAGGAUGACUGCCCUAUGGGUUGUAAACUUCUUUUAUAUGGGAAUAAAACGUUCCACGUGUGGGAUUUUGUAUGUACCAUAUGAAUAAGGAUCGGCUAACUCCGUGCCAGCAGCCGCGGUAAUACGGAGGAUCCGAGCGUUAUCCGGAUUUAUUGGGUUUAAAGGGAGCGCAGGUGGAUUGUUAAGUCAGUUGUGAAAGUUUGCGGCUCAACCGUAAAAUUGCAGUUGAAACUGGCAGUCUUGAGUACAGUAGAGGUGGGCGGAAUUCGUGGUGUAGCGGUGAAAUGCUUAGAUAUCACGAAGAACUCCGAUUGCGAAGGCAGCUCACUGGACUGCAACUGACACUGAGGCUCGAAAGUGUGGGUAUCAAACAGGAUUAGAUACCCCAGUAGUC
rnacentral:rRNA from 1 species